AGUUUCAAAUUUAUUAGUUCCUAUAUCUAUUCUUGUUUCUUUUACAUGACUAGUUCCUUCAUGGUGAACUUGUAAAGUGUCCCAAACCUUUUUAGCAGUAUCACAUUCAUCUACUCUUUCACUUUCUUCCAUGCUUAGAGCACAGGAUAGAAAUAAAUGAGCUUUAGAGUUUAGGAGUACCUUUUGUUGUUCUACAGUUGUCCAUGCAUCUUCAGGUUUGUCUGAAAUGACUCCCUCAGCAGAAGUUACAGUAGGAACAUAAUCUCCUUCUGUGACUAUGCGCCACAUUCCUACUUCNNN
rnacentral:lncRNA from 1 species